GUCCCUGUAGCGCAAUGGAUAGCGCGUUGGACUUCUAAUCCAAAGGGUCGGGGGCUUGAAUCCCUCCUUGGAUG